rnacentral:rRNA from 1 species
UACAGAGGGGGCGAGCGUUGUUCGGAAUUACUGGGCGUAAAGGGCGCGUAGGCGGCCUUCUAAGUCGAACGUGAAAUCCCCGGGCUCAACCCGGGAACUGCGUCCGAUACUGGGAGGCUUGAAUCCGGGAGAGGGGUGUGGAAUUCCAGGUGUAGCGGUGAAAUGCGUAGAUAUCUGGAGGAACACCGGUGGCGAAGGCGGCAUCCUGGACCGGUAUUGACGCUGAGGCGCGAAAGCCAGGGGAGCAAACGGG